UACGAAGGGGGCUAGCGUUGUUCGGAAUUACUGGGCGUAAAGCGCGCGUAGGCGGUGAUCCAUGUCAGAGGUGAAAGCCCGGGGCUCAACUCCGGAAUUGCCUUUGAAACGGGAUCGCUAGAGUCCGAGAGAGGAUGGCGGAAUUCCUAGUGUAGAGGUGAAAUUCGUAGAUAUUAGGAAGAACACCGGUGGCGAAGGCGGCCUGCUGGGCAGUAGCUGACGCUGAGGCGCGACAGCGUGGGGAGCAAACAGG
rnacentral:rRNA from 1 species